GGGGCUGAUUCUGGAUUCGACGGGAUUUGCGAAACCCAAGGUGCAUGCCGAGGGGCGGUUGGCCUCGUAAAAAGCCGCAAAAAAUAGUCGCAAACGACGAAAACUACGCUUUAGCAGCUUAAUAACCUGCUCUGAGCCCUCUCUCCCUAGCUUCCGCUCU
rnacentral:tmRNA from 1 species